rnacentral:rRNA from 1 species
GAGGCUAAUAGUUCAUACGGGAGUCAUGCUGGAAUGCCGACUCCCCGAAACGCUCAGGCGCUGUAGGAUGUGGCUGCGGCCGAUUAGGUAGACGGUGGGGUAACGGCCCACCGUGCCGAUAAUCGGUACGGGUUGUGAGAGCAAGAGCCCGGAGACGGAAUCUGAGACAAGAUUCCGGGCCCUACGGGGCGCAGCAGGCGCGAAACCUUUACACUGCACGAAAGUGCGAUAAGGGGACCCCAAGUGCGAGGGCAUAUAGUCCUCGCUUUUCUCGACUGUAAGGCGGUCGAGGAAUAAGAGCUGGGCAAGACCGGUGCCAGCCGCCGCGGUAAUACCGGCAGCUCAAGUGAUGACCGAUAUUAUUGGGCCUAAAGCGUCCGUAGCCGGCCACGAAGGUUCAUCGGGAAAUCCGCCAGCUCAACUGGCGGGCGUCCGGUGAAAACCACGUGGCUUGGGACCGGAAGGCUCGAGGGGUACGUCCGGGGUAGGAGUGAAAUCCUGUAAUCCUGGACGGACCACCGAUGGCGAAAGCACCUCGAGAAGACGGAUCCGACGGUGAGGGACGAAAGCUAGGGUCUCGAACCGGAUUAGAUACCCGGGUAGUCCUAGCUGUAAACGAUGCU